rnacentral:rRNA from 1 species
AACGAACGCUGGCGGCAUGCCUAACACAUGCAAGUCGAACGAGACCUUCGGGUCUAGUGGCGCACGGGUGCGUAACGCGUGGGAACCUGCCCUUAGGUUCGGAAUAACUCCCCGAAAGGGGUGCUAAUACCGGAUAAUGUCUUCGGACGAAAGAUUUAUCGCCUUUGGAUGGGCCCGCGUUGGAUUAGCUAGUUGGUAGGGUAAAAGCCUACCAAGGCGACGAUCCAUAGCUGGUCUGAGAGGAUGAUCAGCCACACUGGGACUGAGACACGGCCCAGACUCCUACGGGAGGCAGCAGUGGGGAAUAUUGGACAAUGGGCGGAGGCCUGAUCCAGCAAUGCCGCGUGAGUGAUGAAGGCCUUAGGGUUGUAAAGCUCUUUUACCCGGGAUGAUAAUGACAGUACCGGGAGAAUAAGCUCCGGCUAACUCCGUG